rnacentral:RNase_P_RNA from 1 species
CCAGUCGGCCGGGCAGCCGCGCUCCACCAAUGCCGAAAGGCGGUGGGGUGAGGAAAGUCCGGGCUCCACGGAAACACGGUGCCGGAUAACGUCCGGCGAGGGCGACCUCAGGGAAAGUGCCACAGAAAGCAAACCGCCCCGUCUUCGGGGUAAGGGUGAAAGGGUGGGGUAAGAGCCCACCGCGGACCUGGCGACAGGGACGGCAUGGUAAACCCCACCGGGAGCAAGACCGAAUAGGGAUGACGCGGCGCGGGGCAACCCGAGCCAGCCGGUUUCCGGGCCAGUCAUCCGGGUGGGUUGCACGAGGCAGCGCGCAAGUGCUGUCCCAGAUGAAUGGCUGCCACGUUCCGGGAAACCGGGGCCAUACAGAACCCGGCUUACAGGCCGACUGGCGAU